rnacentral:sRNA from 1 species
CUCGACGAAGAACCCAAGAAGAUCCUUCUUCUGUUGUCCAACAUAUCAAGAUGUAAGUAGAUUUGAAUUUGUUUUUUUUGGUGUUUG